AUCCAGCCAAAGAGUCCGAAACAGGACGAAACACGCAUCCUGGAU
rfam:Schistosoma mattheei strain Denwood, Zambia genome assembly, scaffold: SMTD_scaffold0000570